rnacentral:rRNA from 1 species
AUUGAACGCUGGCGGCAGGCCUAACACAUGCAAGUCGAACGAGUGGCGGACGGGUGAGUACUGUCUGGGAAACUGCACGAUGGAGGGGGAUAACUAUUGGAAACGGUAGCUAAUACCGCAUACCAUCGGAUGUGCCCAGAUGGGAUUAGCUAGUAGGUGGGGUAACGGCUCACAGAGGCGACGAUCCCUAGCUGGUCUGGGAGGCGGACCAGCCACACUGGAACUGAAGCACGGUCCAAACUCCUACGGGAGGCAACAGUGGGGAAUAGUGCACAAUUGGGGAAACCCUGAUGCAGCAACGCCGCGUGCGUGAUGACGGCCUUCGGGUUGUAAACCGCUUUCAGCCAUGACGCGGUAGUGGCAGAAGAAGCACCGGCUAACUACGUGCCAGCAGCCGCGGUAAUUC